rnacentral:ribozyme from 1 species
AUGCGCAGAAGAGAAGGAGUCAAAGAAGAAGAGUGGGCAAGAACAACAAGGAGAAAGAGAUUGUGAAUCUUGGGCGACAGUUUUUUUUUUUUUUGCUUUGCUUCUUUUUGUGU